ACAGCCUUAGUUUAAUUGAAGGAUGAUAGUUUGUCGUGCUAUUGGUGGGUUUGAUUCUCAGGCUGUG
rnacentral:tRNA from 1 species